GACGAACGCUGGCGGCGUGCCUAAUACAUGCAAGUAGAACGCAGUUUCGAACGGGUGAGUAACGUGUAGGUAACUUCCUCAUAGCGGGGGAAAACUUUUGGAAACGAUAGCUAAUACCCCAUUCUUUGAGCUGGACCUGCGUUGUAUUGGCUAGUUGGUGAGGUAAAGGCUCACCAAGGCGCCUAGACAUAGCCGAGCUGAGAGGGUGAGCGGCCACAAUGGGACUUGAACAAGGCCCCGAAUCCCACGGGAGGCAGCAGGAGGGAAACUUCGGACAUGGACGGAAGUCUGAACGAGCAAAGGCGCGGGAGUGAAGAAGGUUUUCGGAGCGUAAAGCUCUGUUGUUAGAGAAGCGGUAACUAAACAGAAAGGAACGGCUAACUACGUGCCAGCAGCCGCGGUAAUAC
rnacentral:rRNA from 1 species